GUGUUCCCUCUCUUGCUGGCUGUCUCUCUCUCGCUGUCAAAUAAAUAAAAUCUUAAAAAAAAAAAAAAAAAGCUGGAAGGAUGCUCUGAAAGCCUCCGUGUUCUCUAGAGCUUAGAGGAAGGAGGCCGUCGGAGGUUAAGUCCCCACACCACAGACACAUUUCCCAGAAGCCGGGCAAGAGGAAGAGGGAAGUGCGGUGGAGCUCUCACCUCAUCUGGGCACGUCAGCCGUGAGCCAUGGGAUCCUUCUCACGUCGAGGGCACAGAUCCUCUAUUGCAGACAAGCACGUCAGUGCAUGGCAGCCCUGGAUACACAGCGAAAGGCUUUGCUGUGUGGCAGUCGCAGGAGCAAAGCGGAGAAUAAAUACUGGUCACCGACAUUACGGGGCACGAAAGAAAUCGCACGGCUGGGGGAGACAGGACCGAGGCGGCCGCGCUGCGCAGAGCACCCAGGUCGGCCGCUCGUCUCGGGCUACAGUGUGGAGCGGCGCCCAGAGCGAGCAGGGACUCUGCUCUGAGUAGAGAGUGAGGUGAAGGGAAGCGCCUCCAGCUGUUUCCAGCGGCUCCUCAGCGCACGCCAGAGAGGUUCGCAGCAGAGGUGCAAACAGGUGGGUGUGCAGCCACGUGUGUUCCUCACGUGCUCGCUGACCCCUGUUCUUCAGCCUCCAUGAGGCCUUCCCAAACAGGGGCUGUCAACAUUUUCGA
rnacentral:lncRNA from 1 species